GACCGGUUGCCUGCCGGUGGGGAGAAUGAGCUUGGAGCAGCGGGGCUUAACCCAGCGAGGCUCAGAGGUGGGUUGCUGAAGGACUCGGGGAGGCAGCUGCAACAGGGCAUCACUCACUGUCCAAGUAUUUCCAUUUCUGAGCGCAAAAGGAAGAACUUAAGCGGGCGGCAGUUGGAGUGUAAAUUGCUUUGUAGUAUUUAAAAGCAGCACGGAUCGUGGGCAGCUGAGCUGAAUUGUGACCUAUAAAUUCUCAGAGGAUACCGAAGCUUCCUGAAAAUGCCCACUUCUCAAGACACAGCAACAAAUCAAAAGGACUUCAUGUGAAAUUAUUGACUACUCUAUGCCUCUCAGCCUCAAAUAACCCCUAAUUCUAUGCACCUGGGAGCCAAAGCAAAUCAUAAGGAGCCACGCACACUGCUCUGAUGAAGCAUCUCUGGAAGGAAGUCUCACAU